AUUGAACGCUGGCGGCAUAGCUUUACACAUGCAAGUCGAACGGCGAGCACGGGGGCAACCCUGGUGGCGAGUGGCGAACGGGUGAGUAAUGCAUCGGAACGUGCCCCGUAGCGGGGAUAACCAGUCGAAAGACUGGCUAAUACCGCAUACGCUCCACGGAGGAAAGCAGGGGAUCGCAAGACCUUGCACUAUGGGAGCGGCCGAUGCCCGAUUAGCUAGUUGGUGAGGUAAAGGCUCACCAAGGCGACGAUCGGUAGCUGGUUUGAGAGAACGACCAGCCACACUGGGACUGAGACACGGCCCAGACUCCUACGGGAGGCAGCAGUGGGGAAUUUUGGACAAUGGCGCAAGCCUGAUCCAGCCAUGCCGCGUGCGGGA
rnacentral:rRNA from 1 species